UUUUUUGUCUUAGGGUAUAGAAAUUUGUAAAGGAAAUAGGAAUACCCAAUAUAUUGGUUUUUCCGACCAUUAUAUUGGGUAAGGAGAGAAAAAUACCCGGGGGUCUCUAAAACCCCUCGAUUGGGUAGGUCUCUAAAAUCUCUUUACUUUAUUGGAUAAGCAUACUCAGUUGGUCUAAAAACCCAAUAUGGUAAGUAAAGAAAAGUAAUUGAUCUAGAAAAGUUAAGCAAUAUGGAGUUAAGCAAUAUGGUAAGGAAAGAGAAAUACUCAAUAUAUGGGUCUUAAAAAUCCAUGGGUAUUUCUCUUUUUUUUUUUGCUUCGUUUGCUCUCUAUUUUUUUUUCUUCUUCAUUACAAAUUUAUUAUCGUUAUCGUUUCUGGCAUCCCUCGCGAAAUUCCGGG
rnacentral:misc_RNA from 1 species